GACGAAGGGGGCUAGCGUUGUUCGGAAUUACUGGGCGUAAAGCGCGCGUAGGCGGACCUGCAAGUCGGGGGUGAAAGCCCGAGGCUCAACCUCGGAACUGCCUUCGAUACUGCGGGUCUCGAGUCCGGGAGAGGUGAGUGGAAUUCCUAGUGUAGAGGUGAAAUUCGUAGAUAUUAGGAAGAACACCAGUGGCGAAGGCGGUUCUCUGGGCCUGUACUGACGCUGAGGAACGAAAGCGUGGGGAGCGAACAGG
rnacentral:rRNA from 1 species